rnacentral:SRP_RNA from 1 species
AGUUGGGCUAGGCUGGCGGGUUAGCAGUCCGCUGUCACCUGAAACCUGCUUUACGCAGGAGCCGAACGCGGAAAGGCGUUGCACGUUCAUGUGCAGGUCCGCGCAGAAGGCUGUAGACCUUUUGUCCCCCAAGAUUGAGUGAAUGGGCCAACUCCGCCAGGUUCGGAAGAAAGCAACGGCAACCCAGGCAUUGAAUGCUUAGGGUACACAAAAGCGAGACCCCUGUGCGGAAUCACUUGCAUGCGGGUAUGCAACCACUUUCCGUCCGCCCACUC